rnacentral:snRNA from 1 species
AGAUGUAAGGGUGAUCUAGCUGUGACAUAUGUUACUCCAUUGAUCGCCAGGGUUGAUUCAGCUGAUCUUGCUGAUUAGGCAGGUGUCCCCUUCCUCCUUUCCAUGUGUGUCCCUCCUGAAGCUGCGUGCUAGCGAAUAGAGGUCGGCCGUUCUUCAGUUGAGGGAUGUAAGUAGCUGCGCUCCCAGCUAGAACCUUCAAACAGGCUCUAAAAGACAGUAUAGGUUCAUCAAGUAGUCAGUAUCCCCUUUUUGUAUCAAAUAACUUUAAAAUGUUUGUACAGUCCCUU